rnacentral:misc_RNA from 1 species
UCUCCGUAGGUGAACCUGCGGAGGGAUCAUUACUGAGUUCAUGCCCUACCGGGUAGAUCUCCCACCCUAUGUUAUUAUUACUUUGUUGCUUUGGCGGGCCGUUAGGCUCCGGCCCGACUACCGGCCCCGGCUGGUAAGCGCCCGCCAGAGGACCCAAAACCCUGAAUAUUAGUGUCGUCUGAGUACUAUAUAAUAGUUAAAACUUUCAACAACGGAUCUCUUGGUUCUGGCAUCGAUGUAGAACGCAGC